ensembl:snRNA U4 U4 spliceosomal RNA
GGCUGAGCACAAUGGCAGUAUUAUAGCCAAUGAGGUUUAUCCAAGAUGCAAUUAUUGCUAAUUGAAAACUUUUCCCAAUACCCUACUCUGACAACUUGCAAUAUAGUCAGCAUUGGCAAUUUUUGGCAGUCUCUCCAAAGA